rnacentral:tRNA from 1 species
GCCUGGGUGGCUCAGUCGGUUGAGCAUCUGACUUCAGUUCAGGUCAUGAUCUCAUGGUCUGUGAGUUCGAGCCCCGCGUCGGGCU